rnacentral:rRNA from 1 species
UUGACCUCGAUCAGUAGACAUCCCA